rnacentral:rRNA from 1 species
GACGGAGGGUGCUAGCGUUGUUCGGAAUGACUGGGCGUAAAGGGCGCGUAGGCGGCUAUAUAAGUUGGGCGUGAAAGCCCCGGGCUUAACCCGGGAAAUGCGUUCGAUACUGUAUGGCUUGAGGACAGAAGAGGAAAGUGGAAUUCCUAGUGUAGAGGUGAAAUUCGUAGAUAUUAGGAGGAACACCAGAGGCGAAGGCGGCUUUCUGGUCUGUCACUGACGCUGAGGCGCGAAAGCGUGGGGAGCAAACAGG